rnacentral:rRNA from 1 species
GUGUCAGCCGCCGCGGUAAGACGAACCGUGCGAACGUUACUCGGAAUCACUGGGCUUAAAGCGUGCGUAGGCGGCGACAUAAGUUGAAGGUGAAAUCCCAUCGGCUCAACCGUGGAACUGCCUUCAAUACUGUGUUGCUUGAGGGAGAAAGGGGCAUUCGGAACUUCCGGUGGAGCGGUGAAAUGUGUUGAUAUCGGAAGGAACGCCGGUGGCGAAAGCGGGAUGCUAGGUCUCUUCUGACGCUGAGGAACGAAAGCUAGGGUAGCGAACGGGAUUAGGUACCCCGGUAGUCCUAGCCGUAAACGAUGGGCACUUGGUAGGAAUCGCUCCGAUGGCGACUCCUGCCGAAGCGAAAGUAUUAAGUGCCCCGCCUGGGGAGUAUGGUCGCAAGGCUGAAACUUAAAGGAAUUGGCGGGG